rnacentral:rRNA from 1 species
AACGAACGCUGGCGGCAUGCCUAACACAUGCAAGUCGAACGAGACCUUCGGGUCUAGUGGCGCACGGGUGCGUAACGCGUGGGAACCUGCCCUUAGGUUCGGAAUAACUCCCCGAAAGGGGUGCUAAUACCGGAUAAUGUCUUCGGACCAAAGAUUUAUCGCCUUUGGAUGGGCCCGCGUUGGAUUAGCUAGUUGGUAGGGUAAAAGCCUACCAAGGCGACGAUCCAUAGCUGGUCUGAGAGGAUGAUCAGCCACACUGGGACUGGGACACGGCCCGGACUCCUACGGGAGGCAGCAGUGGGGAAUAUUGGACAAUGGGCGAAAGCCUGAUCCAGCAAUGCCGCGUGAGUGAUGAAGUCCUUAGGGUUGUAAAGCUCUUUUACCCGGGAUGAUAAUGACAGUACCGGGAGAAUAAGCUCCGGCUAACUCCGUG